rnacentral:misc_RNA from 1 species
GUUUUCAUCAUCUUAUGGUGCCACUUGGCAUCUCAUGCCACAUUACCACCAAGACACUAAGCCACAUUUUUUCUCAUGGCUUCAUAAGCCAUUUAAGCUAAAUAAUUCUUCUUACCAAAAUAAUCUAUAUCACAUAUAAAUUACUAAUUAAUUAAACUCCUUUAAUUAAUUAAGCUUCUAUUUAAACAUUUCAAAUAUUAGCUUAUUUCCUUUUAAUGAACCCAAUUACUUGAAUUUAAUAUCAAGUCAUGCUAGAGACCUUGCAAUCUAACUAAAAAUUAAAUUUAUCAAUUUAAUUAAUCAGUU